rnacentral:rRNA from 1 species
AGUGAACGCUGGCGGUAGGCCUAACACAUGCAAGUCGAACGGCAGCACAGUAAGAGCUUGCUCUUACGGGUGGCGAGUGGCGGACGGGUGAGGAAUACAUCGGAAUCUACUUUUUCGUGGGGGAUAACGUAGGGAAACUUACGCUAAUACCGCAUACGACCUACGGGUGAAAGCAGUGGAUCUUCGGACCUUGCGCGAUUGAAUGAGCCGAUGUCGGAUUAGCUAGUUGGCGGGGUAAAGGCCCACCAAGGCGACGAUCCGUAGCUGGUCUGAGAGGAUGAUCAGCCACACUGGAACUGAGACACGGUCCAGACUCCUACGGGAGGCAGCAGUGGGGAAUAUUGGACAAUGGGCGCAAGCCUGAUCCAGCCAUACCGCGUGGGUGAAGAAGGCCUUCGGGUUGUAAAGCCCUCUUGUUGGGAAAGAAAAGCAGCAGGUUAAUACCCCGCUGUUCUGACGGUACCCAAAGAAUAAGCACCGGCUAACUUCGUG